rnacentral:rRNA from 1 species
GAUGAACGCUGGCGGCGUGCCUAAUACAUGCAAGUCGAGCGAACGGACGAGAAGCUUGCUUCUCUGAUGUUAGCGGCGGACGGGUGAGUAACACGUGGAUAACCUACCUAUAAGACUGGGAUAACUUCGGGAAACCGGAGCUAAUACCGGAGAAUAUUUUGAACCGCAUGGUUCAAAAGUGAAAGACGGUCUUGCUGUCACUUAUAGAUGGAUCCGCGCUGCAUUAGCUAGUUGGUAAGGUAACGGCUUACCAAGGCAACGAUGCGUAGCCGACCUGAGAGGAUGAUCGGCGACACUGGAACUGAGACACGGACCAGACUCCUACGGGAGGCAGCAGUAGGGAAUCUUCCGCAAUGGGCGAAAGCCUGACGGAGCAAGGCCGCGUGAGUGAUGAAGGUCUUCGGAUCGUAAAACUCUGUUAUUAGGGAAGAACAUAUGUGUAAGUAACUGUGCACAUCUUGACGGUACCUAAUCAGAAAGCCACGGCUAACUACGUG